rnacentral:misc_RNA from 1 species
GAAAUGCGAUAAGUAAUGUGAAUUGCAGAAUUCAGUGAAUCAUCGAAUCUUUGAACGCACCUUGCGCUCCUUGGUAUUCCUUGGAGCAUGCCUGUUUGAGUAUCUUGAAAUCUUCAAAGUAAAUCUUUUGUUAACUCAAUUGGUUUCUACUUUGGUAUUGGAGGUCUUUGCAGCUUCACACCUGCUCCUCUUUGUUCAUUAGCUGGAUCUCAGUGUUAUGCUUGGUUCCACUCGGCGUGAUAAGUUAUCUAUCGCUGAGGACACUGUAAAAGGUGGCCAAGGUAAAUGCAGAUGAACCGCUUCUAAUAGUCCAUUGACUUGGACAAUACUUUUAUGAUCUGAUCUCAAAUCAGGUAGGACUACCCGCUGAACUUAA